AUGAGUUCAAGGAUGGCACAGGCUUUGAAUUUCCAUUUUGGUUCAUAUAGCGAUGUUAAUCUUGUGUCACUGAGCACGAUGUUUGACAGGGAUCAUACGGUAAUGACCUAUUUUAUACUUUUUCUUUUAGGAUUCCGCACCAUGAAUGCUAUAGAGGACCCUAACCAAGUAAGGACCUUAACGAAUCUCUUUCCUCAAAACGAGGUGGUGCAGUGGCCAAAGACUGGAUAAACUGAAGCAAGUCUAAGAAGAAACUGAAGGUCUCACAAAUCCACAGGCCACCAGGUACCACAGGAACUGAUCAAGUCCUGGCGCUGUGUCCCAUAUGUUCUUGGCUUCAGACAGACGCCAAAUUACUUUACUUACAAAGUGCUUUCCAACCAGUCACUCCACCAUCAGUUGCAAACUUUAAUGCUGGCUUUUUUGAGGCUAGUUUUGACAAAAAUUCUUUGAUACUGGAUUUAUUAGGAGUUAAGAAUUGUGUUCCCUUAUUCUACAUCCUAUCAAACUUGACCAUUUCAAUGGCUAGAAAUGCAAUAUUCAAUAUUCAUUGAAAACUUAUUAAAUUACUUUAGUAUUUUGCUCAGUUUUCAUUACUGCCUGGCAGAGGGGGAAAAAAAACAACUGACCAGCAGUCUUCUCUGAAACUAUUAGCAGAUUUGUAACCGCCACAACUGUUCAGUGCUGUGGUACCUUACAUACCCCAUACAUUUAGUUCUAUUUCCCGUUCCCAUAUAUUUGCAGCUUUUUCUCUUUAAGUGUGAGUAUAGAAGAUGCAUUAUAGGAUUGCAGCUUUUCAUUCUAUCAACACAGCCUGUACAAAGUCUGCUGCCUUUUUUUUCAUAUUGCAGUUAAUGUUUUUCAACAUUUGAAGAGGCAAUAGAAAGCCUUUACACCAUUUUAAUUUAAAGUCCUUAUUCUAAAAUUGUCUUCUCUAAAACAAAACAAAACCAACCAAACAACAACAAAACAAACAUCUUUUCCCUAAUCCUAGUUGCCUUAUACAUUUGGAAAACAUGUUUGCAGCCUAUGCCUUGUGAGGGACUGUCACACAUUCUCCCUCUGAUAUUAUCAUCCUCUUGGCCACCAUUCUUCAACCCUGGUCUGUAAUAUAUCUGACUUUUUACAUUGUUUUUACAGCUCUCAGGGAGCAUUUGUACUGCGGCACACAUUCUGCUAAGGCAGUGCACAGCCGUGGUGCAAGUAAAUGUCCUUUAUCACCGGAAGUCUAAGAGUUCAGUGUUUACAGGGAAAGUACAUGAACUUUGAUUGUUCCAAUUCCAUUUGCCUGUUAAGAUAAUAUAUGCAGACUUCUACCACCAAACAUCUAGCACCUAACAGCAGUUUUCUAGAAGUAACUGGUAAAUAAUCACUUUUUAGGUUUUUAAAUUUGUUGACUUAACUUUUCUAUUCAAUUCUCCAAAGAAACUCAGCCAGCUACCACCUGUGCUUCUAGGACCAAAAGAGACACCCAGCUGAGAUCUCUUCAUCUUAUAUUGAAUUAAAGGAUUUAAGUGUUUUUGCUAUUCUGUGUUAACUUAGAGAAUGUGGAGUCUGUUUGUUCCUACCAUGGAUCACUGAAAACUCAAAGUUUCAAGUGAUCAGUUCUCUUGGAGAAAUUAUUAAUAUCAAAUAACUCUAGUACUCAAGUGCACUUUAAACAGAAAAGCUUGUAAAUUUUAAAGGCCGAUACAAAAGUAAAUGUUUAACUAGGAUAGUAUAAUUUCAUUUUACAUACUUCUAGUUAGAAAGGCCCUGAAAGUGAACCCAAGUGUGGGGUUGGGUGUUUCCACUUUUUUUUUUUUUUUUUUAACGCACUACUUUCUUGGACUCAGUUCUUUCUAAGCUUACUAGAAACUUAAGGGGGAAAAAAAGCACUUGGCUCUAUUAAGCAUCCUACCAUGUUACAAAAGUGGGU
rnacentral:lncRNA from 1 species